rnacentral:lncRNA from 13 species
AAGGUGAAGAAUUCAGUUCUUAAAUACACAGUGCUUGUUAACCUAUCUAGAAAAGGAAACGGUCAACUGGAGACUUUGGUUUGUUGCAGAAGCUGUUGGUUUUGAUCUGUUCCUCCUUGGCACCAGGGGAGGUUAGGAAGAGCGAAUCUAAACAAGAUUGGCAAAAAAGCUUCACAUGUGAGAUAAAUGCACUCAAAGAUUCCUCACAAGUAGCUCUUUGGAGCUUCAGAUGUGAAAUGGAUCAUUCCUCAAUCUGUAAUAGACCCUUCUGUGAAGCUCUUCAAUCAAACUAGAGAAUUCAAGGCGUUUUGUAGCAUCCUAAACAGAAGGAUAUUGCAGGGAGCUGAUUCUGCUUUGAUCCUUGUGCUUGUUGUCAAAGCGCUUGGGAUUGAAGAGACUGUUGGCUACAAUUGACUGUGACAAUUAGGAGAUGAUCAGAGCCCUAGAGUGGAGCACUUAAAGGGUAAUUUACAUGUCAGUUUGUCGAAUAAAAAAAAAGAUAUUCAGCUAAGAUUUUUUUCC